GUUUGAUCCUGGCUCAGGAUUAACGCUGGCGGCAUGCCUAAUACAUGCAAGUCGAACGGAAUUAGGUACUUGUACCUAGUAUAGUGGCGAACGGGUGAGUAAGACGUAUUUAACCUACCCUUUUGUUGGGAAUAAUUACCGGAAACGGUGACUAAUACCGAAUAUGUGCUUAAUUCCACGGAUUUAAGUAUAAAAGAAGCCCUUAAAGCUUCGCGAAAGGAUGGGAAUGCGGUCCAUUAGUUAGUUGGUAAGGUAACGGCUUACCAAGACGAUAUGGAUAGCCGGACUGAGAGGUUGACCGGCCACACUGGGAUUGAGAUACGGCCCAGACUCCUACGGGAGGCAGCAGUAAGGAAUUUUUCACAAUGGGCGCAAGCCUGAUGGAGCAAUGCCGCGUGAUCGAUGAAGGUUUUCGAAUUGUAAAGAUUUGUGAUAGGGAAAAAACAGACUAAUUUAGGAAAUGAUUUUAGUUUUGAUGGUACCUUAUUAGAAAGUCAUGACUAACUACGUGCCAGCAGUCGCGGUAAUACGUAGGUGGCGAGCGUUAUCCGGAUUUAUUGGGCGUAUAGUAUGCGUAGACGGAAUUGUAAGUCAAAGGUUUAAUCAUGGAGCUCAACUCCAUUCCGCCUUUGAGACUGCUUUUCUCGAGAUAAGAAGACGUUAGUGGAAUUUGAUGUGGAGCGGUGAAAUGCGUGGAGAUAUCAAGGAACACCAAGAGCGAAGGCAGCUAACGAUUCUUUUUCUGACGUUGAGGCAUGAGAGCAUGGGGAGCCAAUCGGAUUAGAUACCCGAGUAGUCCAUAGCUGUAAACGAUGAGUGCUAGAUGUUAAUUAUUGAUUAGUAUCGAAGCUAACGCGUUAAGCACUCCGCCUGGGGAGUACGCACGCAAGUGUAAAACUCAAAGGAAUAGACGGGAACCCGCACAAGCGGUGGAACAUGUGGUUUAAUUCGAAGCAACGCGAAGAACCUUACCAAGGCUUGACAUUUAGUGCAACGCUAUAGAAAUAUAGUUGAGGUUAACACUAAACAGAUGGUGCAUGGCGUCGUCAGUUCGUGUCGUGAGAUGUAAGGUUAAGUCCUCUAACGAACGCAACCCUGUCGUUAGUUGCUAACAUUUAGUUGAGUACUUUAACGAGACUGCUCGUUUAAACGAGAGGAAGGUGAGGAUAACGUCAAGUCAGUAUGCCUCUUACGCCUUGGGCUACACACGUGUUACAAUGGUCACUACUAAAAGAUGCAAUAUCGUGAGAUAGAGCCAAUCUGCAAAGGUGAUCUCAGUUCGGAUCGAAGUCUGCAACUCGACUUCGUGAAGGCGGAAUCGCUAGUAUCGUCAAUCAGCAACGUGACGGUGAAUACGUUCUCGGGUUUUGUACUCACCGCCCGUCAAACCCCGAAAGUUGGUAGUGCUGGAAGCUGAUUCCUCAACCGCUUUGCGGAGAGAAUCAACCAAGGCAAGACGGAUAAUCGGGGUUAAGUCGUAACAAGGUAAC
rnacentral:rRNA from 1 species